UGGGGAAUCUUGCACAAUGGGGGAAACCCUGAUGCAGCGACGCCGCGUGAACGAUGAAGCCCUUCGGGGUGUAAAGUUCUUUCGGCAGGAACGAUAAUGACGGUACCUGAAGAAGAAGCUGCGGCUAACUACGUGCCAGCAGCCGCGGUAAUACGUAGGCAGCAAACGUUGUUCGGAGUUACUGGGCGUAAAGAGUACGUAGGCGGUUUGCCAAGUUUGGUGUGAAAUCUCCUGGCUUAACUGGGAGGUGCGCCGAAUACUGGCAGACUUGAGUAUUGGAGAGGAAAGCGGAAUUCCUGGUGUAGCGGUGAAAUGCGUAGAUAUCAGGAGGAACACCGGUGGUGUAGACGGCUUUCUGGACAAUCACUGACGCUGAGGUACGAAAGCG
rnacentral:rRNA from 1 species